GGAAACAAGCCUAGGGCCCAUAGUUUUAGACGGCGAAUAACAUUUAAAAAUUUUAAAACGAAAAAGUUCCCGUUUCUGCACGCAAAAAUUCUGCCCAAUUCGCAGCCAAUCGCCACCCGGCUGGAACCCCUGGGGAACAAUAAACAGUUUGGGGCCCAUAAUAACCACGGCAUAGCCUUCUAGCUUUACCAAGAAAACGGAGCGGCAGUGCUGGCGCGCCAGCAGCACGUUUGUCCCAUUUAUUUUUCUUUUCAGAAAUACUCAAUAAUGUAGAAAAAUAUACAUGAUUUAGAUUCAAAAUUGAACGAAGAUCACAAAAAUGCACUUUGUCUUUAUGUCCACUUCUACUUAAUUUUGAUCGAUUGGGUGAUUUUUGAAUAUUUUGACGAAAAUAAUAAGGGCUUUCUCUUUCCACUUUUUCAUUUUGGCCCAAUUCAAAAUUUUGCAUAAAAUACAAGAUUUCAAUCCAGAAUUGAAUGCUUUCCUCGAAAAUUAAGUUUUAUUUUCAAUUUGCCUUAUUUAUUUUUCUAACUAAACGUUAAAAUGUCUAAAUUUAAAGUUGGGGCACUAACAGCACUUUGUUCUCUUUUUUUCUUCAAUCGGCUGAUUUAACGACUAGUGAUUUAACGAGCUAGUACCUUCCAGUAGUAAGCUGGUCAACUGCCGUCAUAUAAGAAAUAACGUUAACGGUACAUUAAUGGCUGCCACAGCUUCUAUCCUGCAAACCAUCUUCUAGCUAUGCCUCUAAUAUCUCUAGGGCUUGGCGUUGCGCCAGUACAUUCCGGAAAUAAGCUGGUCACCGUUAACUCAUGAGUCCACCGGGGCCGAACCCUAGACAUCUUCUGUACGAAUAUUUUGGUUUUGAUUGUUGAAUCAAGAUUUUCUUAUUUAAAACGCAGACGACUUUUUUUUUAACUAACCAAAACAUAAAUAAAUAAACACGAUCGUGUAAGCUGAUGGCGUCUGAAAACUGCAACCCCCUUAUUGCAAAACGUUGCCUAGCACUUUACUUCCCUGAUCGAAUUUCUAACGAAUCAGAGUCAACAAGCAGCCGAUGUAGAGUUGUUAAUCAAGUUGACGGUUGCCAUGAAACCCAGACAUCGAAUAGAAAAAAGAAAACAACAAAAAAAACAUGAAAUUUCAUAUGUCUUUGAUUUAUCUUUAGCCAAUCUCUUUUCUUUUCACAAUCCUCCACUUGUUUUUCUUCUCCGGGUCAUAAAUCGAGGUACUGUAUGAUUAUUGUUAUGUAACACGUGUGUUAAUAAUGUUGGGUAGAGGGCGAGUAAGAAUAAAGGAAUAAUGGCGAUCAGACGGGCGGUGUACAAUAAGAAUAGUAUAAGGUAAUCAGAGGAGCUGUAAUAAAAGAUCUAGAACCAUUUGAGCGAAACCGAAUCCAAUCUUUCCCUUUACAUGAGAUAUUGGGUAGGGAAGGAGAGACACAAAAAAAUUAUAAUUGGAAACAUAAUGAAAAGUAAGGAAUGAAUAGAAAAUUCAAUUCGCUAUUGAUUGGAAAAUAACCUUCGCACGCUUCUGUUCCACGUUUCAAUUUUUUUGUUUUGUUUUGUUUUGUAUUUGUUUUUGUUUUUUUGUUUGUUGCACUGCAAGAAGAAAGUGAACCUGCUGUUGAAAAACAAAACUGCAACGUCGCGCAAUGUAGACGUGAGGGAAGGAGGUAACAUCCAACGACGUCUUCACAAACACACACAUACACACACCCCAAAAAAGAAAGACGCGCAUAAAAAUGACACAUCCAGCAGAAGCAAAAUGGAAAAUGUUUCAAAAACGGAGCUCUUCGGGAACAGAUGGAAUGGGAGGGGGUUGAGACAUAAGAGGAAA